UGAAAAUGCUAAGAUAAAUUUGAAAAAAAUUUCAAAAACA
rnacentral:tRNA from 1 species